GUGGGGAAUUUUGGACAAUGGGCGCAAGCCUGAUCCAGCCAUUCCGCGUGCAGGAUGAAGGCCUUCGGGUUGUAAACUGCUUUUGUACGGAACGAAAAGCCUCUGGUUAAUACCCGGGGGUCAUGACGGUACCGUAAGAAUAAGCACCGGCUAACUACGUGCCAGCAGCCGCGGUAAUACGUAGGGUGCGAGCGUUAAUCGGAAUUACUGGGCGUAAAGCGUGCGCAGGCGGUGAUGUAAGACAGUUGUGAAAUCCCCGGGCGCAACCUGGGAACUGCAUCUGUGACUGCAUUGCUGGAGUGCGGCAGAGGGGGAUGGAAUUCCGCGUGUAGCAGUGAAAUGCGUAGAUAUGCGGAGGAACACCGAUGGCGAAGGCAAUCCCCUGGGCCUGUACUGACGCUCAUGCACGAAAGCGUGGGGAGCAAACAGGAUUAGAUACCCGGGUAGUCC
rnacentral:rRNA from 1 species